GGGCCCGUGGCCUAGCCUGGAUCAUUGAGUUCGUAUCUCAAGUUAGUAAUCCCCGGUUCGAAUCCGGGCGGGCCCGCCA
rnacentral:tRNA from 1 species